UGUUUUGAUAGCAAGUCAAAAUAGUCUUUGUGACUGAGUAAAAUUGAUGGGUAAAGGUUUCUUGGAAUAAAAUAAUUGUUUUCUGCCUUAUUGAAUGUAAUUUCGUAUUGGCUAGGAAAUGCAGUAUAAUCUAUUGGGAACAAUUCACUUUUCUCUAUAACUUACUGUAGCACUACAGGUCUUUCUACGUAUAUUCCUUUGUUUGGAAAGCUCCUUCGGCCUUGUGUAAUCUGAUGCCGUUUGUUGUUUUUGAAGAGUUGUGCUGCAGAAUGAGAGUCUCACGACUUGAUGCCUGCUUGUUAUUUAACUUACCGAAAUGUAUUAUAUAACUUUGUCUUCUUAUUGUUCACACAGAUCUUUCCACAGCCGGAUGUACUUCCUCUGCCCUCACUGCAAGAAGGCUCCACCCUCUCUUCCUGUGCACCUCAGGACGGUGUGCAUGCGCGACCGCUCAGAGGCAGAGAUACAGGCCACGGUGAUCCAAGCCAAGAAAGAGCUGUCUAAAUUUAUCCACAGGGGACGUCUCUGGGAGUACCAGAGUAUUAAAGACAUUUUGGCAACUGCUGAUCCUCUUGCCAGGUUGUUAGAGGAGAUGCAAAAGUUGUGGCUUAGGGCUUAGUGGUAACAAACAAACCUCCAGUCCUCCCUUCCCCCACACGGCCUGUGCCCUCUUUACCUUCAUCUGCUCCUCAAAGCCCUGGAGAAGGUGCGAACAAGCCACACGUUGUGACGAACAUGACCGAUCAGGAACGGGAGGGGAGAACCCACACGCCGAACGAAGCUUCUGUUGCAGUGAAGGAGGAAGUGACUGAUGACAAGGAAAAUGUAAGUUUAUAUUCAAAAUUACACCAUAACAGCAGAUUAAAUAUAUGGUGGAUAAAGUCAUGCAAGACUACAGCUUCAUAUGUAUGUUUUUAUUUUCAUUACAAAGGGUCUUAUCUAGAGAAACGAUCUGUCAUUUUCUACAAAAAUACAACUGUAAAACCUGGAAAAAUAAAUUUGAAAAAAAAUUUUAUCACUAAACUACUGUCAUAAAAAGUUAUAGUUUUGUAUAUACAUAACUCCUGAAUAAAAAUUAAAAUGUGUUUGGACUGAUUUUUUUAAAAAAAAGUUACGAACAAAUUUGAUUGGUUUGUCGAUAGUGAGCGCAAAUGCAGGUGAUAAGCGGUUUUAUUAAGCGAGUCAUUGAGUCGUUCAUUCACGAUUCGUUCAAACGGCUGAUUCAUCAAGAAUGAGACAGAUGUUUGUGAAUGGGUCAUUGAAUCUUUGACUCAAACGAUUUGUUCAAAACACUGAAUCAUUCAAAACAUGACUGAGUGUUGCUGUCAGAUGCGCUAUGUUGUGAUCUUUGUUUUCAAUUCAUCGGAUCUAUUUUCGCUGCUAAAAUAAACCAAAACAGUAACUUAAUAUUAUUAACUUGUUUGUUGAACUGUCAUAUCAGUGUCACAUUUGGUGACACUGAGCGGGGUGUAAAUGUAAAUGUUUACUCACUCUCACACAAAAAUAAAUCACUGCAUUUAAAUUGACUCACGACAUAGCUCUCCAUUCACUCUAGUCUAGUCUCUUGCCAAGUUCACUUGUGCCAGCUCUCGCUAGUCUGUUAUCAAUCUCGAUUUACAUCGGCCUUUACUACAAAACCCCAACAGUCUUUUUAAAGACUAAACCCACAAACAUUCUUUUUAAAGAUUAGAUCAAAUCUCAGCCCUAGCCAGUCAUUUUUUUAACUGCUAGGCAGUAGCUACACUUAGCUAAAACUACCCACGCAACUAAGACACACACACACACACACACACACUGACGAGGACUACAAUCGUUAAGUAUUAAAAUAAAAUCUGAAUUGUCUGCAAAAUAAUUGUUUUGUUCGUUUAAUUAAAGAUCGUGCCUAAGUCCCGACUGAUUAGCCCCUGAUACGUCUCUCAACAUAGCCACACACACAGUUACAUAUUGCCUAAAUUUUAUUGAAAACACAUAACAAAAAUGGAGAAAUUUCUUGUGAAGACCAACAAGCCAACCGACGCACCACCAGCUGCAAAAAAGCUUCGAAGGUACGAUGAAGCAUACCUGCAGUUUGGGUUUACAGUCACAGCUGAUCUGAGACCUCAGUGUGUCGUGUGUGCCGAAGUGCUGGCAAACGACAGUAUGAAGCCCUGCAAAUUAAAAAGGCACCUCGAAACAAAGCAUGCUGGCA